rnacentral:lncRNA from 1 species
UUGAACUUCGAGCUAAUGGAGAACACGAUAUAUGUUGUGUAGUCGCAGCUGCUUUCGUUGCAACUAUAGCACAGUUGGGUGAUCGUAGCGUGCCGAUAUGCAACACAUGUACGUGGGAAAUCUUUGAGCUACUUCCUCUCUACCUGCCAAUGAUUUCCGAAAAAUUUUCAUCAGUACAGCAGCAGUGAGUACGUACCGAAUAGACGAAAAAGGAUGCAGCCAGUAACAGUGUCAACAGACACUUUGCUAUUGCUUUGGAGCACAUUUACUUACGUGUUGAGCAAAUUUCAGUGCCUGCAACCGACUGAAUACCAUGCUGUUCCAUAGGUCUGUUGCAAAAAUCCUAAUUAAGUCUAACAAGACAUACCCCGACCAGAUCUCCUAGUAUGGGACAACCAGGCCAUCACCAUAUCUGUAUCACAAUUGCUCAACCUCGAAGAAGUUUGUCAUAUUUUGGCCAACUUGAAGAACAUAACAGUCAAGCCAAAAACACAAUAAUGGCCUUUGCAGAAGAUUCGCCAGAACUAGAAGGACCAUUAAGCCCAUUUGUAAAGGAUACCCGUAUGAAGAAUGUUUUGGUAACUGUUAAGAUAUUUUUUGCAAGAACCAGUUAUAGCUUUUAAAAAAAAAGUGCUUCUUCACGAAGUUGUUUUAGUUAGGAAGUUUGCAGUUGAGCAGCAUCAGAUUAACGCCUUAGAAUUUAUCGAAUGUAUCGAAGAUUUUCAAUAUGUAGCAAUACAAACCUUGUUUCAUAUGCUGAUGCAGAAAUCAUACGACUUAUGUACGAUGGUAUGCAUCCAGUGUGCAAUGCACACUAAAUAUGAAAGCGAUGACAACGUAACGAUGAUUAGCAAUUUUUUUUUAUUAUCCGACGGCGAUAUCUUUCCUAGUUAGAAAUAGUAUAUAGAGGGAAAAAUAUACAUGUAUGUAUAUAACUGGGUUUGCAGUUGCUUGCCUUCAAUUCACAAAGAGAACUUGGCAGUCCUUAUUUGUAGGUUUGGUAUCAAUUUAGGUAGGUUCUAUAAUUAGUCAUUGUUGCAUACAAAGCAAUUAUGCGAAAUGUUCGCAGUAAUAUAAGGCUUGAAGACCCACAAUCUAAGUGCAAUGCGUUGCUGUUGCCUGCUUCUUGAAAAUCGUCUAAGGCUGAUGGGUAAUCAUAAUGGGAGUCUUUACCAAAAACCCUCUUUGCGAAUCUCGCAGAUUAGUCAGAUUUGUUAGUCAGCGCUUUAACCUUUUGUACGAGAUAACUCAAGCAAAUGGCAGCACUUUUAUACCGUCUUUUGUUUCCAAAAUUAUUGAUUACGAAGAAACAUUUUUUGUUCGAGUUAUUUUAUAGAGUUUCUCUACUAUACGUAAGAAAGUAGCUAAAAUACAUCGACUCACUUUUUUUUUUAUGUCACCAUUUAUCACUUACAACCAUUUGAUUUUGAACGUACACUGAUUUCGAUCACAAACCGGAUUGAAGCCAUCAGUGCAUCAUUUUAUCGCACACAAUUACUGCUUGCCAUAAACAUAGCAUUUAUCCGAUUAAUUGAAUGCGCAUCACGUAGACAUGUCAUUAUCAUCUUUAAAAGUGUUGGCGCGAUCUUUUUUCUGUUGUCUAGUUAUUCUGAUUCAAGUGUUACGCUAUCUUAUUCCUAUUAUAUGUCUCAUUCCUAUUAAUUAAAUAACUAUUAUCAACCUGCACCUUAAUCAAAGUUCGCAUUGACUUUGCUAAUAACAUUACAGCCGAGUGUUUUGAUAUACGUAUAUAUAUAUAGAAAAAGCAAAGUUGUCCUUCUUUUGUCAUAGUGUUGAUAACAUUGCUGUUAUAUGUAUAUAUAUAUAUAUAUAUGUGUGUGUGCGUAUUUUGUGGCAGGACUAGCAAGAACAAUGACGUUAUGAAAAAAACUCAAUCUUUCUUUCAUUGUCAU